UUCGCUUUAGCUACACGGUUAAUGGGAAUGUGUGUUUCUGGAGGUACUUCGCUUUCACUCACUGCUGGAUGCUAAAGGCAGCCGUGAGGAUUGAGCCCACUGAGUGAGGACUACACGCUCAGCUUUGGCAGAAAACAACGCUUCUGUGCACCCUCCCUGCAAGGGCACCGAUUUUGGACUGGCAAGUGGUGCAACCAGAGGC
rnacentral:lncRNA from 1 species